rnacentral:rRNA from 1 species
GCUCGAAAGAGAGCCAGAACACAGGUGCUGCAUGGCCGUCGUCAGCUCGUGUCGUGAGAUGUUGGGUUAAGUCCCGCAACGAGCGCAACCCUUGUCAUUAGUUGCUACGAAAGGGCACUCUAAUGAGACUGCCGGUGACAAACCGGAGGAAGGUGGGGAUGACGUCAGGUCAUCAUGGCCCUUAUGGGUAGGGCUACACACGUCAUACAAUGGCCGGGACAGAGGGCUGCCAACCCGCGAGGGG